rnacentral:lncRNA from 1 species
ACUGCGACAGACUAUGAAGACCGACAACUGACUAGCAUCAACAUGGGCCGUGUCGUCAGUGCAUGCGUUGCUGGUAUUUCAGGAAUGAAAUAAACGAACGACGGCGCCCGCAGUCACGAACUUGAAGGUCGCCUAGUAUACGGCCAAAGACCAUCCGAAAUGGUACGAUACGUUUUAAACGGAUAACAGUUAGGAAAAUCCCGAAACAGAAUUAACAAUAUUGACAUACAUCUACAAAUAAGAAUGACAAUAUUCUGAAUCCUUAGGAGAGUCUUGCUUGAUGAGAGACAACUAGUUAGCACAUGCAAACGUUAAAGAGUUGUACACACCGAAACGAAGCAGACAAACGUUGGAAAAACGAUAUUGAACUGGAUGGAGAAGAGAAGCACUUUGAGUCCGAAAAGUGGGCCGUUCAACAGACUAACGAUGACAGCAAAGAUUAGAAAUGGGCCAAGAAAACGUGGGGUUAAAAGUCUGUUGAGACAUCGAUUCAAAACGGACACUAGGGAGGAGGAAACCCGUUUAUUCUGACGAGGCGCUUUCAUCGGCUUUGUCACUAGAAAAGAUUUUCUAGUCGUCAUUUCAUCGUCGGCCAGUCUAUCCAUUAAGGCUAGGGAAACUAGAGAUGUAACCAGAAAGAGCCAAACGAGUUGUUCGCUUGUCAAAAAAACUGGCAUUUUGCUGCCCGAUGGAAAUGGACUUGCACUUUGGUUCGGUCGCUUUCACCGCAUUCAGACGACAGAAACAAUAAUGAAAAAGAGUCCUGCUCGUCCACGGUUACAGUGAUUAAACAAAAAACAAACAAGUAGUGUCAAUAACGUUCAGCUCCUUCCCGGGCCAAUCGCUUAGCAGCUGACGAUCCAUCGUCGUAUAUUCCGGGGCCUUUGAGUCGUCUUCCUCCAGCCGUUAUCCAUCCAGUAAAAGAUGAGAUUUUCAUUUACGUUGCGGAGGUAUUUGGAUUCUGUAUGGAUGGCCAUCCGGCCGAUUCCCCACGCCUUAGCAAUUUUAAUCGCUUCGAUGGCUGCUCGGAUUUCUGCAGCACUUUUAGAAGUAUCAUCUCGGUCAUCUAACGGCUCACUCACAUUUCUGCCUGAGCAUCUGGAUGCCCUUGCUGAAGACAGAUGCCGUCAGUGUAAACGCGAACGAAUCCGUUUCGAUUGAUACUGAAAUUGUGAAUCAAUUUCUCUGGAACGGCUGGCGGGUUGACGUAACGGGCCGAUCCGAUUCGCAUGAGGUCGACAAUCCAUUCAGCGUUUUGCGCAGCUUCACACAAAUCGUGCCAGGAGACAUCUUCAUCGAUGAUGUGCUCAAACAGGUAGGACGAAUGCAAUUCUCUCCAAACGGAUCGUUGCAUUCCUCGCACAAGGACAUCUUUUUUCACACCACGACGGAACAAAUUGUAAUCUGGAUCGGGAACGUCACGACAUCCAUAGGCUUCCAUGAAGGCUGCAUCAAUACGACGGGUAAAAUUGCGGAUGCGCUCUGUCCUUCCCUGUUUCAUCUUCUUCAGUUGAUGAUGAUGAUAGUACAUUUUGUUCUCUAUCGACGAAGUAUCCGUCGAUGCGUACAUUUUCGAACCUAAAUGCAAUUUUAAUGGACUUCACUGGAAAUAUUCUUGAAUGAUGUGAAACAAGUGAACGGUUUGCCCGUCAGCGAUUGACUAGCGUUCUUCUCGACUCAACAGCGGCCUGUUAUGGGAGAAAACGGAGAAAGGACAAAUCUUGUGGAUACUAUAACAACGGGAAAGUAGAGCAAAGAGUACAUUUUUAUUAAAUAAAAACAAGCUAUUGCGACGAUUUCUUUCACAAAGCAGAGCCAACCGGUUUGUGUCCCUUAUAGAUUAUCAAACUGUAAGUAACCUGCAAAUGCAAAGCGUGGGACUUAUAUCGAUUGGAGACAAUAACAAUUUAGCAAGAAGAAAAUUGAGGGGAUUGAGCGUGAAUACAUUUUAAUGUGUUUGCAUAUUGGGGAUCAAAAAAAAAUUUGGCGAUCUUUCUGCGCCGUCGCCUUUAAUUGCCCGGUCGAUAUCACAUUGGCGAACUCGGUAAACGAAUGUGAAGACGAGACCAAAGAGCAGAGCUUCAGCUAGGUAAUUGACAAGUGAGUUAGGCUGACAUAUUGCAACCGGUUGGAUCGACCUACUUUGUUUCAUAUGAACGGGUGAAACAGCCGGUGGCGAACAUGGGAUGUAAUCAGUAUAAUCCACUAGCAAUCCCAGCACAAAGAAUUGGAGCUUCAUGAUAGCGAUGAAUAGAGUCAAAGCGUGGGCUUUUUUCUACACGACCGUAAAACAUGAGUUAUAGUAAAUAAUGAUAUAAACACAGUAGGUACGUAGAAAGAGAAAAUGGGGAAAGGUUACCAUGCGACGAUUCCAAUUUGAUCUCUCUAAUCCUUUAAACGUCUUGACGAUAACGUUAAAACCCCAGUUGCCCAACAUACACAUUAGGACGUUCAGGCCAGCCAGGGUUUGAAACAGAGGCAUCACGAUAUACUGCAUUCAAAAAUUUAAAAGAUUUGUGUUCUGAACAUGGAAUAUUUGACUUAAAAAAUUUACCUCGGGAAGAAACUGAUUAAUUUCAGCUAUUUCCAAAACGACAGCAGCCAUCGUUAGCAGAAAUUGCCACAAUGGUGCCUGGUACACUCUUCUUCUCAUAGCUCGGAAUCCUCGUCUAUCAAGAAAGCAGAUCCCAAAGAAACAGCAAGGUGAUGCGCAAAGAGACAUGGGAACUCGGUUGUCCAUCAGUGUGUUAAGAAUUUGCUCUUCGUCACCGUCAAUCAUUAGUGCCAGAUCGAGAAAGUGCAUCAACAUGAACGGCAUAUACCUGAAAACAUCAAGAUUUCCAGCCCGUGGAACGAGAAACGACGUUAAGGAGAGCCAAGAUAUUAUCAUAGGCAUGGAAACUAACAACCAUAGAAAAUCAGUUAGUAACAAAAAAAAAAUGAUGAGCCAAGAAUUUUACCAAUCCAGCUGAGAGAACGUUGCCAUUCCCACGGACAUUUCCUGACGUUACUGCAAAUUUGGAUGAAGAAAAGAAGCGUUAACAGUCCAGAACUGGCAGUGCCUCCAUAAGCGAUACCCAGGCCAAUGAUACCGAAGGCUGUGACAAACGAGAUAUGCACGAUCCCAAUGAUAAACAGCACUAGAAAAACAUUUUAAUUGUUACCGUCAAAGUGUUGCGAAACAUCGGGUGGAUCGCUGUCAAAGUCGUAUCGACUGCAGUUGAAUUCUAGCAUAACAUCUUGUGACAAAUUCAUGAUGGAGCGACACCAAUCACAACAGUUUUGCCGGCCAGACUAAAAGUGCCGCACCCACAGGUGUAAGAGCGGCCGCGUCUAGUACCUGAAGUUGUUAUCUCAACAUCACUAGGCCAUUGUAUUACUUCAUAUCCGACCGCUGAUUAGGAACAUCCAGCAAUCGACCCUACUGAUAAAACACAAUAAAGCUGUCAUCAUGCAAAGCAAGAUGUCGUAAAAACCGUUACGUACCUGUAAAGCAGAAACUGGAACUACUAGGCAUAGUCGUGAUCCGGCCCGAAAACGUUGUGUUCCAGUAAAGCCAAGAUUUAUCAUGGCCAAGAUUAUCUUGGCAUUUCUUACGCCGUGCAAAAGCCAGUCUAGUUGUAUAGCUGUCAGCGUGUAAUCAUUCCUGUUUACGUCUCCUCACGAAUCUCAGAAGUCUCACUGGCGAAGGACGAGAUUGGCGAAGUUUCAGAGUUAGCUCAAUUUAAAAGUCCAUAGUGAGUCGUAAGAUUCUUUGAACGAAAGAGAAAGUUUGUUUCGCGUUCUUGAGUUUUUGUAAUUCUCAGAAAAGGUCUUGCUCAU